rnacentral:lncRNA from 1 species
CAUGCCUGCCACCAGAAAUGCUCUUUAAACAAAGGACACAUAUAGGUUAAAAGUAAAAAGAUAGAAAAAGCUCUAAAAAAAAAAAAAAAAAAAAAAAAAAAAAAAAAAAAACAAAAAAAAAAAAAAAAAAAAAAAACUAAAAAAAAAAGCUCUAACAAUGUUAUUAGGGGUGAAGAAGGGCAUUUCAUAAAGAGAAAGGAGUUGUUUCUCAAGAGGACAUGGCAAUCCUAUAUGUUUAUUCAUCUAAAAACAGAGCUCUAAGAUACAUGAUGCAAAAAUUUGACAUAAUUGCCAGGAGAAAGAGACAAAUCCACAAUUACAGUUAGGGAUUGCAGUGUCUUUGUAUUCAUUUCCUAAGGGCUGCUGCAACAAAUUUCCACAAAAUGUGUGGUUUAACAGGGCCAAACUUUAUUCUCUCCCAGUUCUGGGAGCUAGAAAUCCAAUGUCAAGAUUUAGUAGAAUAAGAGAUCAAUGUACAAAAAAUCAAUUGUGGGAUCCCUGGGUGGCGCAGUGGUUUGGCGCCUGCCUUUGGCCCAGGGCGCGAUCCUGGAGACCCGGGAUCGAAUCCCACGUCGGGCUCCCGGGGCAUGGAGCCUGCUUCUCCCUCUGCCUGUGUCUCUGCCUCUCUCUCUCUCUCUCUCUGUGUGACUAUCAUAAAUAAGUAAAAAUUAAAAAAAAAAAAUUUAAAAAAAAUCAAUUGUAUUUCUAAAUACUAUUAUUAAACACUGGGAAAUUGAAUUAAGAAAUAACGCUUACGGGGCACCUGGGUGGCUCACUGGUUAAAGGACAGCCUCUCGACGCCCCUCAGGUCCUGAUCUCAUGGUCCUGCUCCAGCUCAGUCUGGAAAUCUGGGAGUCUGUCUAAAUUAAAUAAAUAAAAUCUUAAAAAAAAAAAGAGAGAGAGAAAUUGCUUUUACAAUAGCAUCAAAAAUAUGAAACACUUAGGAACAAAUUUGACAAAAUAGAUUCAAUGCAACCCUGUCCAAAAUCUCUGCAAGUUCUUUUGGGGCGGGGGUGGUGGUGGCUAGGAAUUGACAAACUGAUUCUAAGGUUGAUGUGGAAAUGCAAAGAACACGGAAAGCUGGUGGAACGCCCUGGUAAGGAGACCUGCUCGAGGACUCCAACUUCCCCGAGAGGCUGCGUAGCGGGGUGCACAGCUCUUCUAUUUCGUGAAUCUCAAGAGGCAACUCCCAAUUGCUUUUGACUUAUGGACGGUCCUUCCCACGAGAGGAUCACAAAGCCCUAACGGGAAGGGGAGAACAAGAAAAUUUCACAAAUACACUGAAAUGCACUUCACCGAAUAUUUAAAAUCAGAAUUUCAGAAAAUAGCAGGAUUUGGAAGCUAAUAGUUUGGAAGUAACAGUUUGCACAGAUGGACCUACUUGCCCUCAAUUUUGAGCCUAGCGGGAUCAGGUUACAUAUGAAAUGCACAGGAAUGAUCAUUUCACCUGGGAGUUAGGAGAUUUUUCCACUUAUCAUUUGGGAAAACCUCCAGUGUGAAACCCGACCAAGAAUCUAUAAAUAGUGCAGCGUCGAAUCCCGGCCAGUCACAUCAAAAAGAGAAGAAAAAGCGUAAAUCCUUUGCUGUCGGAGACGACGGAAGCUGGGCUCCAAAGUGCGUGGGCGGCCAGGCCCGAGAGCGAAUUCUAGGACUUCACCCGUAAUCCACCCCCGCGGGGCUGAGGCUCGGUCUCAAGGCAAGCAUCCCUCGGACUGGUUGGAGAGGAAACGCCGUAACACGGGGCCUGGAAACACGCCUCGGCACUUGUGCGGGCCGGUCCUUACGGCGGAAGAGAAGUACAUCCUCGGGGGCUCCGUCCCCGCCGCGCCGAGCUGGGGCCCAGCAGGGGCGGCUCAGGGCCAGGCGCGGGGGCGGNGGCGGCCAGGGCGCAGGCCCCGGCCGCCAACCCGGAAUCGCCUCUUUGGAGGAGAGAUGCCGGCUGUAAACGACCCAAGCUGUCCUGUCGUGUAGGAACAGCUCCACAGGGGACACCAGCGGGCAAGGCCACUUCCCGGAGAGCCCAACGCGGCACCCGGCGCCACCUUCCUCCACGGAAACCGCCACGCGGCAGCCGCCGGGCCUGCCAUGGGGCUUCCCAGCAUGCCC